GUGUCAGCCGCCGCGGUAAUACGUAGGUGGCAAGCGUUAUCCGGAAUUAUUGGGCGAAAAGCGCGCGUAGGCGGUUUUUUAAGUCUGAUGUGAAAGCCCACGGCUCAACCGUGGAGGGUCAUUGGAAACUGGAAAACUUGAGUGCAGAAGAGGAAAGUGGAAUUCCAUGUGUAGCGGUGAAAUGCGCAGAGAUAUGGAGGAACACCAGUGGCGAAGGCGACUUUCUGGUCUGUAACUGACGCUGAUGUGCGAAAGCGUGGGGAUCAAACAGGAUUAGAAACCCGUGUAGUCC
rnacentral:rRNA from 1 species